rnacentral:rRNA from 1 species
CACGUAGGGGGCAAGCGUUGUCCGGAUUUAUUGGGCGUAAAGAGCUCGUAGGCGGUUUCGUAAGUCGGAUGUGAAAACUCCAGGCUCAACUUGGAGACGCCAUUCGAUACUGCGAUGACUUGAGUCCGGUAGGGGAGUGUGGAAUUCCUGGUGUAGCGGUGAAAUGCGCAGAUAUCAGGAGGAACACCGGCGGCGAAGGCGGCACUCUGGGCCGAUACUGACACUGAGGAGCGAAAGCGUGGGGAGCGAACAGG